rnacentral:rRNA from 1 species
UACGGGGGGGGCAAGCGUUGUUCGGAAUUACUGGGCGUAAAGGGCGCGUAGGCGGUUUGCUAAGUUGGAUGUGAAAACUCUGGGCUUAACCCAGAGCCUGCAUCCAAAACUGGCAAACUUGAGUACUGGAGGGGAAAGCGGAAUUCCUGGUGUAGCGGUGAAAUGCGUAGAUAUCAGGAGGAACACCGGUGGCGAAGGCGGCUUUCUGGACAGUAACUGACGCUGAGGCGCGAAAGCUAGAGGAGCAAACAGG